rnacentral:rRNA from 1 species
AACGAACGCUGGCGGCAUGCCUAACACAUGCAAGUCGAACGAGAACUUCGGGUCUAGUGGCGCACGGGUGCGUAACGCGUGGGAACCUGCCCUUAGGUUCGGAAUAACUCCCCGAAAGGGGUGCUAAUACCGGAUAAUGUCUUCGGACCAAAGAUUUAUCGCCUUUGGAUGGGCCCGCGUUGGAUUAGCUAGUUGGUAGGGUAAAAGCCUACCAAGGCGACGAUCCAUAGCUGGUCUGGGAGGAGGAUCAGCCACACUGGGACUGAGGCACGGCCCAGACUCCGACGGAGGGCAGCAGUGUGGAGUAUUGGACAAUGAGCGAAAGCCUAGUCCAGCAAUGCCGCGUAAGUGAGGAAGGCCUUAGGGUUGUAAAUCUCUUUUACCCGGGAUGAUAAUGACGGUACCGGGUGAAUAAGCUCCGGCUAACUCCGUG